CCAAAAAGCCUCUCAUUCCACGCGCCGCCAUCCCAUCUUCCUCGUAGUCGUCGUCGACGUCCGCCAUCUCCGCCCGCCGCCGCCCACCUCUGUUGGUAAAGGAUUGGCGCGGAGUGGAGGUCCAUCUUAUGGUUCUGGACUGGACUGGGAUUGCUUUCUUCUCUGGUUGGCACAAGAUAGUUCCCUGUUGGACAUAAUCUUUCUUCCGUUGCUAUGGAAGCCAAGUUUUCCCGGUUCCUGAAGCUUGUUGGAGUAGGCUUCAAAGCAAGGUCAGAGCACGAAGGCCGUAAGUUAUUUCUGAAGCUGGGUUACAGCCACGAGUUUCAGUUCACAGCUCCACCCGCCGUACGCGUCUUCUGCUCCAAGCCCAACACAAUCUGCUGUACUGGUAUUGCCCACCGUCUAUGCUGAAGGGCCCAACUCUAAUAAGCAGCCAUGUCAAACGCGUAUUCAGAGAAGGGAUACUGCAGGAUACUCACUCCCAAGAAACUUUCUGUGUCCACCGUAAUUUAUUCAAAUACUUGGUUACACGUACAUAGAUAUCGUAUUGCGUUGUGUACUUGUGUUCAAACAAUAUAUGAGCUGUAAACAUGUGCCGGAUAUGCAUGAGCAA